rnacentral:tRNA from 1 species
GCCGCCGUAGCUCAGCUGGCAGUGUGCUUGAACACGCCAAAAGCGAUCGCCUUGUAAGCGAUAGGUCGUGGGUUCGAUCCCCACCGGCGGCUCCA